rnacentral:misc_RNA from 1 species
AGCAGCCGCGGUAAUUCCAGCUCCAAUAGCGUAUAUUAAAGUUGUUGCAGUUAAAAAGCUCGUAGUUGAAUUUCGGGAUCAAUAUGUCGGUCGUGCCUUCGGUACGUACUGGUAUCAUUGGUCUCUCCUUUCUGAAGAACCAUGAUGUCAUUUAUUUGGUGUCGUGGGGAAUCAGGACUGUUACUUUGAAAAAAAUUAGAGUGUUUAAAGCAGGCUCACGCUUGAAUACAUUAGCAUGGAAUAAUGAAAUAGGACGUUUGAUUCUAUUUUUGUUGGUUUCUAGGAUCGACGUAAUGAUUAAUAGGGAUAGUUGGGGGCAUUAGUAUUCAAUUGUCAGAGGUGAAAUUCUUGGAUUUAUUGAAGACUAACUACUGCGAAAGCAUUUGCCAAGGAUGUUUUCAUUAAUCAAGAACGAAAGUUAGGGGAUCGAAGACGAUCAGAUACCGUCGUAGUCUUAACCAUAAACUAUGCCGACUAGGGAUCGGAUGAUGUUAAUUUUUUAAUGACUCAUUCGGCGCCU